rnacentral:misc_RNA from 1 species
GAAGAAACAAAAUAUUUAACCGUGAAAAUUUAAAAAAAAAGGUUAGUUUUGCGGUUGGAUUUUAUGUGGGGGCCUAUGCUGACCAAUAUUAUUCUUUACCAAAAAUUCCUGGGCCAAUGGAUUUGUAUGAAAAAAUCAAAGUAGAAUUAGAAAAAUACAA